CCAGACCAUCAUCUCUCUUCUGCCCUCAGGCACUAGGGCAGGCUGAAGCAGCAGCUACUUCCUACUGUGAGAGCCUCCCUUUCCACCUGGCUCCGAGGGUGGUGUGCCCGGGAUCUAUGUCCUGAAUUGUCCCAGAGACAAAACCGGACUAGCCUUAUUCUCAGGAGAAACAAGAGAAGAGCUGCGGAGCAAUAGCCAACUAGCAGAACCAAGUGCAUUGCGCAGCCAGAGGGAAGCACUGAUUGUGUGCCAUGUGCGGUCCACUGGUGACGGAGGACAGCUGAGCUGGGCACAGGGAUGCUGUCCUGCGGUGUGCUGUCAUGGAGAAUAUCCAAGCAGGUGCAACUGGCUCCAGAAACACCUGCUCAGGAGAUAACCUUGAAAGUCAAAAAAUGAUUCCCUUAUCUGCCGGCUGUUGGAUUUCUGUGCACAGACACUGAAAAGGGAAGUCUGAGGAGAACUUUUUGACCAGGACAUGUCAGAAAAACUUCAGUUUACUGUGCUCUCAAGAAUAUCUAGCCUACAGCUGCCAUAGUCUUGAGGAUCCAUGACCCAUGGAGAGGGACCCUGCCUAAUACUUCUGUAGUUCAGCUUUGAAUAAUGGAUUUUCCAGACCCGGAUGAAGUGGAGCACCCAGCAUGUGUGCAAGAGGAACUUUGGAUCAACUUCAUUAUUAAGGAGUCUUUCCUGUGACUUAAGUGGUGGCAUUGCUAGAUGAUCUCCUGGAUGAUUGUUUCUCUGCAUCAGCAAAUAAGAUGGGAGUUCUCCAAGGCUCUCCAAGAGCCUCUGGCUUGUAAGGGGGAAGAGGGAAACCAGAGUGCCGAAAUUAUCAUGCAGUAAUGGAAUCAUCAAAUCUUUAUAUUUGAUAAAGUGCUACAAUAAUACAGAAUGAGCCUCUAGAUGUCAACCAGAACAUGCUGUUUCUGACGACUUUCAGCUGAGUGAAACUACUGUUUCCAUUUAUAUUUAUGAAACCAGUCAUGCCUAUUUAAUGUUAGUAUUCAGAAAAAAUGGACAGAAUGCAUGGGUUUUUCUCUGAGGUGAAUGAACAUUAUCUGUGUAUUCAAUGAAUGGUAAGCAAACAUCCACGUUUCUGUGUGUCCUGUAUCUGUUCUUCUGGAUACAGAACUCAAAUCUCGUGUAACAGUGUACCUUUUUUUUUCUUUUUGGACUGUUUGCCUUUUUUAUUGAGAACACACAAGGAAUGGUACCUACCAGCAGACAGGAGGUGCAUUAAUAUUAUUUUUGAGUGGGACCCUAUCUGCUCAGGAAGACUACCAAAGGAUUGUUUGGUAGUAAAUGUGCAAAAAUAUAUAUCCUUACUUACAAGUAAUAUCUCAGUACUUACAAGUAACUGCACAUAUGGUGGAUAAAAGAUCUAUUAAAACUCCUUUCUUCAUAAUUUCUCCAUCCUUAAUUCCAUUCAAUUUUCCUUCAUUUUAAAAAAUCUGUUCAGGUUUUACUAAAACAAGAUACUUUGGCACAGACUUGGGUUGCGGAUGUUCUUCUCCAGAUGAAAUCACAUUAGUUUGGGAGCAAUUUUAUGAUCCACUAUGACAUAUAUACCUACCUGUUAGGAAAGCACGUUUGUAAAGAGCAACAGAAAUUGAACUUACUCAAAUUUAUGCUAUAACCAGGUGAUUUUCAAAAAUCAUGGAGUUCUUUAAAUAUUUUCUGUAAGUAAACAUUUUGGUUAUUAGGAAAUUAUUUAACCAUAUAUAACCAUGUAUGUUUUCUGACACAUUUUGUUGUGAUAAACUGGUCUUUGUUAUUUGCUGUGCAGAAGUCCUUAAGACUUCUGAAAAGUGAAGGAGAAAUGGAUAUAUUGUGCUGGCUAUGUUGUAUAAUUGUUAGAGAGGAUAUUUAACACCACUGAUUCAUGACUGCUCUUAUAUUUACAUAUGCUGAGAAUAUGAGCUGCCACUGAUUAGCAAAUACUUUUACUCAAACCUCAGUUAUUCAGCCACGGUCUAUAUAUUGAAAAGCAUAGUAAGUUAAAUUCUUUCAAAGCUUUAUUCAAAAAAACACAAGUGAAAGUUUGUUACCUAAUGGAACGGCAUCAGAAGCUCCACUUACAAUUCCCUGUCUUGCUUUCUUGCAUUGCCGCUUCCAUAUGAUACGACAGGAUUUGAACAGCCAACACUGCACAAAGGAAGUAAGUAAAUAAAAUAUAAAUUAGAAAGCUAUCAUUAUCUCAGACUGGAGUGCUAAUAUGACAAGGCAGUUGGAAAUCAGAUCAGCAAUGAACGUGUACUUGUCAUACUAAAAACAUAGGAGCCAUCUACAUGGACUCUAAAGGCCUCCAACAAUUAGCUCAGCCAUUACUGUGUCUGGAAAUACUUGCAAGAGUUUAUAUUUGUUAGUUUUGCUCCAGUCUGUUAAGAUUAUGAUUCCUACUCAAAGUAUUUAUCACUUUCUACAGUCUCCAUUCUUCCUAGCAGUUUGUCUUCCUGUCUGAAGCCAAACAUAGUAUAAAAUGAGAAUUCAAUAAUUUUAGCUAAAACUUUCCCCUCUAUUUCAAACACUAGCUUAUGCAGAAAUUAAUUAUGUAAUAAAGAACUUUUAAGGCACCAUGGAAGAUAAAUUGUAUCGACAUGUUAUUUAAGGUUAAAGGAAUUGUCAGGUGUGAAUAUGACUUGGGAAAGCAGGAAACAAUAGCACAAAAGCACUUGUUCAAUAAAAUUAAUGCCCUGCUGUUCACUCUUACUGGUAUCACAGGAAACACUUCUGUAAGAGACAGUGCAAGCUCUUCCGCUAAUGGAAAGAAAUGCAUCUUCCAACAUAAGUGGUUAUGUGUGACAGAGACCUUGUUGGUAAGUCACUAGCUAGAAUAUACGUAGAACACAUUUAGAUCUCUGGAGCCUUAGCUGCAGAGGCACACAGAAAUGUAGUGAUCCUCAGGACUUCCUUGAGCAAGAAGAGAAAUAAAGAGCUUUGGGUUGAUGACUUUGUUUUUCAGCUCUGUGGUUCUGACUUGAAAGCUUAAUAACUCUUCAUAAUGGCCAGUCUCUUCCCAUUACAUCGUUCCUAUUUACUGGGACAAAAAGACCACUCAGUUGGCAAUAAUCACCAAUAAUGAAGACAUUUUCCAGGAACCAACUGGCAUUAGCCAGCGAUGCGCUGAAUUCUGCAAUCACACAGAAGUUGUCUGGGUUGGUACCUGGUAUUCGCAGUUCCUUGUGCACCUCAUCCCUCCCCAACCUAAUGAGCUGUUACAGAGGUUUUAGUUGAUGCUGGGUUUUUUUAUAGCUUUAUUUAAAAUCCUUUAAAGCAUGCCUCAUUUUCUGAUAGUUUUAAAUUACUUUAAUGCCACCCACUAAUGAAAAAUCCAUCAUAACAGUUGUGUCAGAUAUCACAAUGUAUUCAGUUUGUAGGUUCAGGGGCAGAUUUUUGGUCCCUUAAAUCGCUUCUGGGCUCCUUCUCAGAAGGAACAAAAAUGGCACUAGUAACUGCACAUAAAGGCAAUUUAUCCACAUUUGGGCAUAGACCAGGCUCGCAAAAGGGCUACUAUGCAAUGUAUGCAGUAUGGCAACUAUAAGUAAAGCAUCUGACAGUGCUUGUGCAAGAACUGCCACAGAUCGAGAGAGAGAAAAGGCUUCCAGCUCCACACCGAUCCUUUACAGUGAUCGGGAGCAGGUGCCCACGGAAGCGCACGGGAAGCAGGCACUUUCCACUAACGACCCUCCCCAGCAUUCCCAUACUUCUCCAGCAUUCAGCGAAAGGACUUCCCCGGUCAAAGCUGCAUCUGGACCAUCGUGUUUAUCAGCCAUGCCCUUAGUGGCAUAAGGGUUUGUUUUGCGCAUUGAAAUCUUUGAUGCUGAAGAACACUUGCAGAAAACGUAGCCAUGGAUAUUUAGACUGAUGUAGUACAGAUGUGGCAUUGUCUAUGAGAACAUGAAACAAGGUGCUAAAAAAGGAGUCUCGUGUUGCUUGGGUGUUCUGGAUUGGACUGUUUAUGCUUUAUCAUACAUUUAACAAACUGAAAAAUGUGUUUGAGGGAUCAGCAUGUGGAUGAGGGUGCUCUCAGGUGGGCUACUGCACAAAUAAAAUUAUGGGACACCCAAGGAGAGCUCUUUGGAUUU